GAUGAAGAACGCAGCGAAAUGCGAUAAGUAAUGUGAAUUGCAGAAUUCAGUGAAUCAUCGAGUCUUUGAACGCACAUUGCGCCCGCCAGCAUUCUGGCGGGCAUGCCUGUUCGAGCGUCAUUUCAACCCUCGACCUCCCUUUGGGGAAGUCGGCGUUGGGGACCGGCAGCACACCGCCGGCCCUGAAAUGGAGUGGCGGCCCGUCCGCGGCGACCUCUGCGUAGUAAACCAACUCGCACCGGAACCCCGACGUGGCCACGCCGUAAAACACCCAACUUCUGAACGUUGACCUCGAAUCAGGUAGGACUACCCGCUGAACUUAAGCAUAUCAAUAAGCGGAGGA
rnacentral:misc_RNA from 1 species